rnacentral:tRNA from 1 species
AUUAAGAUGGCAGAGUCUGGCAAUUGCGUAAGAUUUAAAACCUUACUAUCAGAGGUUCAACUCCUCUUCUUAAUA